UAAAGUAGUACCUGUUCACUUUCUUUCUUUUCACAUCCCCAAGCCUCAAUUGUUGAGCCGCGGCGGCGUUUCGCUCUCAUCACUUCUUUCUGCUUCCGAAUCAAAAUCCCUCUCUUUAGCUUCUCAAUCUUCAACAUCUUUUUCCGAAUCUUUAACUUCCCAAUCCGAUUCUAAUCUGUCGUUCGGAUUCUAUUUAUGUUUUUAGUAUCGAAAUUGGUAUGUUAUAGAUCUCAACUGGAUUUGAGUUUUGAUGUUAUCUACGUGAUAUUGUGCCUUGCAUACUAUGUUUUGGAUUAUCUGGACACUUGUAUAUAAUCGCUUUUGCAGGUAAUAAUAAAGAGAGACAUCCCAGUUAAUCUCUUAAUCUCUUGGCAAGCACACCGAAUAUGUAAGAACACAAAAGUUUCGGGUCAUUUCGGGUCGUGUCGGGUAACCCGAAAUAAAUCCGAGUCGUGUUCGAGUUAGGUACCUGUACCCAUAAAAUUUUCGGGCCAGGUUCGGGUUGGGUAAAAAAUACUACCCGAGAAUGUUGACCUGACACGAACCCGACCAACAACCCGUAAUUGCCAGCCCUAGACACCAAUAGCAUAUUCAAUUUGAGUCGAUGUAUGCAUCAAGUAAGUACUGUGAGAUCUUAAAUUGUUAUCUUCUUAGUAUUGUAUUUCAUUGUUCAAUGGAUUAGGUUUUCAUGUUAUUUUAUAUUGAUUUCAUAUAUUAAUGUCACAUCUUAAUUCUUGAUUCAUAUUUUUAUCAUUGUAUGUGAUCUAUAUAAUAAAUAUCGGCCGAAUUUUAGCAAUAUAUUCACAAUUACAUGAUAUGGAUCAAUCAGGUUACAUGGGCUCAACUAAUUUCAAAAAUUCACAGGUUGGACACCGUUUGCAUAGGCCAAUUUCACUAUCUUCGUCAAAACAUGGUUUGGUAACUGUUUUUCUCAUUUUCAGGUUGAUGAGUGAUGGAUAUCAGUCUUCAUUUGUUGAGCCACCGUUCGCUGCCGACCGAAGGAUUAAUUCAUUUUCAGUGUUUGAAAGAUGCAUCAACUGUUAAAUAUCGUUAAAAUUUUAUACAUUUUAAUGCUUUCACCCAAUUGAAGCGUUGUUCCAAUAAAUUGCAAUUGCUUAACACUUUUCUUUUUUCCUUUUCGUAGAAUUCUCUCUUAACAUUCGGAUCGUAUUGCUUCGCGAGUUUUGUUAUAAUAAUCCUAAUAGUGUUCAUUGGUGAUGUGA